GAGGAAUAUUGGUCAAUGGGCGAGAGCCUGAACCAGCCAAGUAGCGUGCAGGAAGACGGCCCUAUGGGUUGUAAACUGCUUUUGUAUGGGGAUAAAGUCAGUCACGUGUGAUUGUUUGCAGGUACCAUACGAAUAAGGACCGGCUAAUUCCGUGCCAGCAGCCGCGGUAAUACGGAAGGUCCGGGCGUUAUCCGGAUUUAUUGGGUUUAAAGGGAGCGUAGGCUGGAGAUUAAGCGUGUUGUGAAAUGUAGACGCUCAACGUCUGAAUUGCAGCGCGAACUGGUUCACUUGAGUAUGCACAACGUAGGCGGAAUUCGUCGUGUAGCGGUGAAAUGCUUAGAUAUGACGAAGAACUCCGAUUGCGAAGGCAGCUUACGGGAGCACAACUGACGCUGAAGCUCGAAGGUGCGGGUAUCAAACAGGAUUAGAUACCCUGGUAGUCCGCACAGUAAACGAUGGAUGCCCGUUGUUAGUUCACCUAAGAAUUAGCGACCAAGCGAAAGCAUUAAGCAUCCCACCUGGGGAGUACGCCGGCAACGGUG
rnacentral:rRNA from 1 species